rnacentral:rRNA from 1 species
GUACUACUCUCAGAGUUUGAUCCUGGCUCAGGAUUAACGCUGGCGGCAUGCCUAAUACAUGCAAGUCGAGUGCCUGUAGCAAUACAGAAACAUGGCGAACGGGUGAGUAAUACAUAAGUAACCUACCCUGAUGAUGGGGAUAACAGUUAGAAAUGACUGCUAAUACCGAAUAAUCCAGUUUGUAAGGAAUUACAGAUAGGGAAAGGAUCGCAAGAUCGCAUUAGGAUGGGCUUGUGGCGCAUUAGCUAGUUGGUGGGGUAAAGGCCUACCAAGGCAACGAUGCGUAGCCGACCUGAGAGGGUGAACGGCCACACUGGAACUGAGACACGGUCCAG